AAGACCAGGGCCCAGAGGGUCAGGGGCUACUGCAAUCAACCACAGGUAAUGCUUGCUGAGCUACAAAUCCAGUCGACCGCAGCCACAGGUCUCCACCUCCCGCCCUGGGAGGUCCAGGGCUCUCUUUGACACAGUCCUUUCUUCAGUUCUCUAUCUUAUUCCUCAUUUGUUGGAGUCUUGCUCUCGCCAUCAGCCUGCGGUUUUGGAGGAGUGGUGAAGGCUGUCCCUUGGUUACGUAGAUGGACGGGAAGCUGGAUUUCACCUCAGUCUAGAAGAUUCAGGACCAUUGCCCAGUCUUGUGAGUGCAUGCCAGGACUGUGCAGGCUGGUGGUGUUAUAGGCCCAAGCAAGUCCAUCAUACUGGGGACAUUCCAGAGGACCCAUAUGUGGCACUGGUCUGAGAAUAGAAGCCUUUGUGCUUUAUCUUGUGCUGGGUCUCACUGGGGGCAGAUCCAGGACUGAGUUCCAAGACAAAGCUCUGCAUACUGACUUUCCCACCCUACUCCCCAGUGGCUUGAGAUCAGAUUUCGGCUGGUGGAGGCAAUCCAUGGCCACUUGGCUAAGGAGUGUCUAAAUGCUCAAUCUGCAGAUACAAGGUCCCAAGUCCAAGGUCUGGACCUUUAUUCCCACUCUCUUGGUGGGAGGCAUGGAAACUCUCCAAAUGAUUCUGCUUGGUGCCAGUGGUGAUGCCUGCAACUCUUUCCUUCCUCAACUUUUAUAUUUCAAAUAAAGAAACAUUUGUAAGUACAGAUGUCUGGCUGAAUAAGGACAUAUAGUUUCUUUGUUUGUUUGUUUUUAGAGAAGUUUAUUUUGGCUCACAGCCCCAUUGCUAUAGCCUGUGUUGACAGUGUCCUUGGUGGUAGAGUUUCAAGGAGUCACACUGCAUCGCAUGACAAGACAGGGAGUAUGAGUGUCUGUCUACUCCUAAGUGAUCUCUUUAACCCUCCUUAUAACGCCGCCAGGAUUUAAUCAUGGGACUUCAUCCUAAUGACCUGAUCUAAUUUACUCACUUCCAAACCCCACCUCUAAGCACCACAGUCAGAGUAAGUUACUACUCUUUUAAUCCAUUAGCAUAAAACUUUGGGAAUCAAAAUCCUGAAGAGUUUGAGGGACAUAUAUUUAAACACUAGUAACUGGUUUCUAUCAGGCACAGGUUUUAUGAUAAUCCUAGAGUGUUGAAUAAGAGUUGACACUAUAUUUACUGUUUGAUUUUUUAAAAUACUAUUAGUUCAUGUAUUUCAUAUAUAUGGAAUAUAGUCUUUAAAUAUCUGGAUCAUGGAAAUCCUAAAUAUUAGGUUAUGGG
rnacentral:lncRNA from 1 species